rnacentral:rRNA from 1 species
UACGUAGGGGCAAGCGUUGGUCCGGAUUUAUUGGGCGUAAAGAGCGUGUAGGCGGUCAGGUAGGUCCGUUGUGAAAACUCGAGGCUCAACCUCGAGACGCCGAUGGAAACCAUCUGACCUAGAGUCCGGAAGAGGAGAGUGGAAUUCCGUGGUGUAGCGGGUGAAAUGCGCAGAUAUCAGGAAGAACACCCGUGGCGAAGGCGGCUCUCUGGGACGGUCACUGACGCUGAGACGCGAAGCGUGGGAGCGAACAGG